rnacentral:rRNA from 1 species
AGAUUGAACGCUGGCGGCAUGCUUUACACAUGCAAGUCGAACGGCAGCACGGGGGCAACCCUGGUGGCGAGUGGCGAACGGGUGAGUAAUAUAUCGGAACGUACCCGGAAAUGGGGGAUAACGUAGCGAAAGUUACGCUAAUACCGCAUAUGCCCUGAGGGGGAAAGCGGGGGAUUCGUAAGAACCUCGCGUUUUCGGAGCGGCCGAUAUCGGAUUAGCUAGUAGGUGAGGUAAAGGCUCACCUAGGCGACGAUCCGUAGCUGGUCUGAGAGGACGACCAGCCACACUGGAACUGAGACACGGUCCAGACUCCUACGGGAGGCAGCAGUGGGAAUUUGGACAAUGGGCGCAAGCCUGAUCCAGCCAUGCCACGUGAGUGAAGAAGGCCUUGGGUGUAAAGCUCUUUCAGCCGGAAAGAAACGACACGGUAAUACCUGUGUGAUGACGGUACCGGAAGAAGAAGCACGGCUAACUACGUGUCAGCAGCCGCGUAAGUCGAGCGGCGUGGACG